rnacentral:rRNA from 1 species
AUAGCGUAUAUUAAAGUUGUUGCAGUUAAAAAGCUCGUAGUUGGAGUUCAGAGUGAGCUCAGCUGGUCGGCCUAAUGGGUCAGAACUGGUUGACUCUCUCUUGUUUGUGGGUCUCGCCCGGAGUUAACUCUUCGGAUGUGGAUCCCACAUCGUUUACCUUGAAAAAAUUAGAGUGUUCAAAGCAGGCGUUUGCUUGAAUAUAUUAGCAUGGAAUAAUGGAAUAGGACGCUGGUUCUAUUUUGUUGGUUUUGAGAACCAGAGUAAUGAUUAAUAGGGACAGUUGGGGGCAUUCAUAUUUCAUUGUCAGAGGUGAAAUUCUUGGAUUUAUGAAAGAUGAACUUCUGCGAAAGCAUUUGCCAAGGAUGUUUUCAUUAAUCAAGAACGAAAGUUAGGGGAUCGAAGACGAUCAGAUACCGUCGUAGUCUUAACCAUAAACUAUGCCGACUAGGGAUUGGGCGUGGUUUGUUCAUUGACCCGCUCAGCACCUUACGAGAAAUCAAAGUCUUUGGGUUCCGGGGGGAGUAUGGUCGCAAGGCUGAAACUUAAAGGA